AUCACUUCCUGGCCUUUUGGCUAAGAUCAAGUUCUUAUGAGUUUAAGAUCUGAUACAUCCAAGGAUAAUAUAUUAAGUGGAUUUCUGGAGCAAGGAGUUGGAAGAGGAGCCUGCUCCAGCCACCCGUUGCAUGGACCUGGCAUUGCAAUACUUCCAGGAACGGGGCACCCCCC
ensembl:snRNA U2 U2 spliceosomal RNA